AACGGGCAAGGCUUCUUCGAGAGAUUCCAUCAAAUCAAGAGGACAUUUGUACGGAGACUCAGCUUCAUUCUCUCCGACACCAUAUUCCCCGUCAUCGUCGUCGUCGCUGUUCCUCCCAAUAGAAGAAGAAGGUGAAGAGAAAGACUCAGAAGAAGAUCGAUCAUACAGAUGAUCACCGGAGACAUUCAACACUGACUAAAGUGAGAACGAGGAAGAGGAUAAAGUAGCUGUUGACUAAACCUUAUCGACAUCAAGGGACACGUGGCGCUUUCUUAACCGUUGCGGCUGGAUAGAAACUGGGAAGAAUGUCGCGUGGCAGUGCCGAGAUGGUUGUUUCUGAGAAACGGUGAGGAUAUGAAGAUGGGACCACAGAAGCCGAUUUAAGCCGACAGUACUUCUUCCUCCGCUUGUAUUUUUAUUCAUUUGAUAUUUAAUUUUCGAGAAUAACUUACCUUUUAUUCGUUUGGGGAAUAAUGAACAACAGCCGGAAUAAGAUUUUCACAUUAAAUUCAUAAAUGUCCUCUUAUCAGUUACCACAUUUAGAAUAUUUAAUGUUUAUCUUCUUCUAUCAUU